rnacentral:rRNA from 1 species
CCUACGGGGGACAGCAGUGAGGAAUAUUGGUCAAUGGACGAGAGUCUGAACCAGCCAAGUAGCGUGAAGGAUGACUGCCCUAUGGGUUGUAAACUUCUUUUAUAUGGGAAUAAAACGUUCCACGUGUGGGAUUUUGUAUGUACCAUAUGAAUAAGGAUCGGCUAACUCCGUGCCAGCAGCCGCGGUAAUACGGAGGAUCCGAGCGUUAUCCGGAUUUAUUGGGUUUAAAGGGAGCGUAGGUGGAUUGUUAAGUCAGUUGUGAAAGUUUGCGGCUCAACCGUAAAAUUGCAGUUGAAACUGGCAGUCUUGAGUACAGAAGAGGUGGGCGGAAUUCGUGGUGUAGCGGUGAAAUGCUUAGAUAUCACGAAGAACUCCGAUUGCGAAGGCAGUUCACUGGACUGCAACUGACACUGAGGCUCGAAAGUGUGGGUAUCAAACAGGAUUAGAUACCCGAGUAGUC